rnacentral:rRNA from 1 species
GAAAUAAACCUGAUGGGUUGUUGCUGGUUCUCUAGGGAGCAUGUGCACGCCUUGUCAUCUUUAUAUCUCCACCUGUGCACCUUUUGUAGACCUUCCAGGUCUAUGUUGCUUCAUUUACCCCAAUGUAUGUUAAUAGAAUGUUGUGCCUACAAAAUACAUACAACUUUCAGCAACGGAUCUCUUGGCUCUCGCAUCGAUGAAGAACGCAGCGAAAUGCGAUAAGUAAUGUGAAUUGCAGAAUUCAGUGAAUCAUCGAAUCUUUGAACGCACCUUGCGCUCCUUGGUAUUCUGAGGAGCAUGCCUGUUUGAGUGUCAUUAAUAUAUAUCAACCUCUCUCUUGUUGGAGUGGUUUGGAUGUGGGGGUUUGCUGGCCUCUUAAAGAGUUCAGCUCCCUUGAAAUGCAUUAGCAGAACAGACCUGUUCAUUGGUGUGAUAACUAUCUACGCUAUUGAAUGUGAGGGGAAGUUCAGCUUUCUAACUGUCCUUGGACAAAUUAUCAUUUAUGUGACCUCAAAUCAGGUAGGACUACCCGCUGAACUUAAGCAUAUCAAUAAGCGGAGGAAAAGAAACUAACAAGGAUUCCCCUAGUAACUGCGAGUGAAGCGGGAAAAGCUCAAAUUUAAAAUCUGGCGGUCUUUUGGCUGUCCGAGUUGUAAUCUAGAGAAGUGUUAUCCGCGUGGACCGUGUACAAGUCUCCUGGAAUGGAGCAUCAUAGAGGGUGAGAAUCCCGUCUUUGACAUGGACUGCCAGGGCUUUGUGAUGCGCUCUCAAAGAGUCGAGUUG